GCAGCUAGUUGUGUUCAGACGUUACGAAGUCGGCACGCAGUCAGUAAUUUAUCAUUCAUUUCGGUGAAACGGGCAACGGCUAGCAAACUUCUCUGCCGUCUUCGCAUCCCUGGACGUGGACUGCACAAAAAUUACAUUUAUAGCGCGCUAACGUAACUCACAGAGCCGUUAGCUUCCUCGUAAAGACACGACAUUUCCCUGCUGUACAAACUGGAAGUUGGCAGCCGAAGAAAACUGACGAGACUUGUGGCUGAGACACUUUCAAUUUUGGAAAAAGAAACCCACAGCUAACUUUUCCAUACCUUUCAGACGCCGAAUAACGUUACCUCCCCGUCGAUAUUACCACUUCUUGACAGUCCCAACUCCCGGUUUUUUGAUAACGUCGGCUUCGGCAGGAAUAACGAAAAUCCAAGUGUGUGUAGCUGAACUACUGCCAGAGCCAGUGAUUUGUCGCACUCUGCUCCUCUCUCUCUCUCCGUGGCUCCGGUAACAGCCGCUGCAGUUUUUUCCACCAGCCUGGCGCGGGAGCGAGCGCUCUGGGAUACUGGGCAGGCCAGGAGAUCCGCGUGAACGCGCAAUUUACAAGGCACACCACACCGUCCAUUGGAGAGGUUUUCAAAGGUUUCAGGCGAGGUCAAUGAAUGAUCUGUGACUCUCUGCUGGAGCUGGCUCCUCUCUCCUAAUGUCAACCCCGUCGCCCCAUGGGCAGGAAGGCGGCCAAGGAUGGAGACAUGGCCCUACAGAGGAGGGAGGGGCCUGUUUUUAUUUCUUUGUGAAGACAAAAGACUGGGUGUGAGGAUGGUGUGGCAAGAAGGGGGCAAGUGGAGGGACAUCAUGAGGGAAUGGAGCACAGUCGCAUUGCUUUUCUGUCGUCUUUGGGUGAAAUGGGCCAACAUCUGAACUCAAGCUUUGGGCCAACAUCAAAGCAAAGAAAGCCCUAGCUAAGCUCAUUAUAUAAAUGAGCUUUGGGGCCUACUGCACACACCAAGCCGUGAACAUGAUAAAGAUGAUGCCAGAAAUUAAAAGGUCUCACCUCCCCUGUGCCGCUUGCCCUUUUGCUUCUCCUGGACCUUCCUGGUGAAAUGUUUGUAGGCUUCGGUCUUCUGGUACUUCUCCAGCUCCCGCAUGUAGCGCUCCUUAUCUCGCUCCGCCUCAUCCAAGUAUCGCUGCAGAGAGAAGACGGAAAGGUUAGAAGAGCCAGGAAUACUCAACCAAAACAAAAAAGGAAGUGGAAGUAAUUAUUCCUAAUCAGCAUCCGCUUCCUUCAAAAGACAAAAAUCUUCCAUUAUUAAUAACCUACAUUCACUUAAGGCUUGUAACAAAAAUGCAUCUUGUAAUACAAUUAGUUUAGGUAUUAGAUGAAAUACUAAUAAAAACCAUUGUUGUGCAAAGGCUGUGUCCCAGGAUACUGACAUACCAAAAUCAGCUCUGAAAUCACUGUCAAACAACAACACGGUGCAAAGCUCUAUCCCACCUUUGGAUUUAAAAACAAAAACACGUCGUGUCUUGUCAAAACUGCUCUGGAAAAAAAGGCAAAAAACUGCAAGUUCUAACUUUGAAUAAUAUCAAUGCCCUGGUAGUAGCUAUGCAUGAGGUGCUUAGUUAUCAAAGCUGAGGAAUUGUGUUAAAGGACAUGUGAAGCAUUAAUACUAUUAAUAAUAGUCAUCAUGUUAGAUGCACAGUUCAGAAAAAAAGGUUUCUGAAAUACAGAAGGGAAUAUAAUAAUAACAAUAAAUGUGACAAAUGAACUCGUGAGCUGUUGAUGUAAAAAGAUGAUGGAAACCAAUUAUAAUUCUGUUGAUCCAUGUUCUGCCAUAAGGGCAAGUUUUCCCUGGUUGAAAUACAAUGGUCUUGCCCAGAUAUAUUUGCAGUAGAAUGACUAAUUCUUAUGGAAAAUCUCCCUGAACAUGACUGUAAUAAUGUUC